CUCCCAUAUUCUGGUUAAGCCAUGUGUUCGUCGUGGGAAUGCUGGGCUUUCUUCAUUCAGCUGCAGUCAAGACUGACUACGUACGACAGAUUUAUGACGGAUCAGUUCUCCGCAUCAGUACAAUGCUCAGGUCUGGCUGCUCCCAUCGUCUGUUCAUUAUUGCUUACUGCUGCAGAACCCUCAAAAACGGAAAACAGGCAACUCAGAUUAUACUUUAUCUUAAAAGAUUUUGCUGAUCUCUACCACGAAUUCAUCAGGACUAAUGAGACAGAUAAGUAAAGGAUUUUGUUAUUACAUGCCAACUCCAUAAAGAUACUCUGGGGUAAGCGGAGAGGUGGUACAAUCUUUGUGUGUGAGUGAUGGGAAAGAG
ensembl:lncRNA